ensembl:lncRNA
CCAAGCUGUCGGUGACUCUGUCUGGUUUAACCCCUCCUUGAAGGGCACGCUGCUGGAGAUCCUGAUAAUGAGUGCCUAGAGCCAGGGCUGUCUGCAGCGGAGUUCUGGGCUGUGCCAUGAGGCUUGCUUCCCUGGAGGCAUACAGAACUUGCUGAAGAAGUAUUUCUUGGGCAACCCCGUCUCCCCAGUGCCCCUCAAGGUGGUUCUGGCCCUGGAGCAGUUGAGGUAAGGGCCAGAAUCACAAAAUCACAGAAUGUCAGGAACUGGAAGGAACCUCAGAAGAUCUUCUAGUCCAAUCCCCCCGCUUUAGCAGGAACACCUAGAUUAGGUCACACAGGAAUGUGUCCAGGCAGUAGUAUGCAUCAUAAGUAAUGAAUGUGAAAAGGCAUUAAAUAUAUUACUAGAAUGAACUUUUAUGUGACUAUUAUAAUUUUCAAGUACUAUUGAAUAACAACAAUGGAAAAGUGUUUGUAUGAAUGUACUUGGGUAAUUAAUGGCAAAGAUUGAAGACAUCAUGUAGUGCCAAAUCAAAGACUGUAAAUACAUUCUUUUAAAGAGACUAAUGUACCCAUUGCUAGUUAAUAAUUAAAUAUAUUGCUAAUUAGUAACACAGUGAAACUUCAGAGCUUUAAUGUUAUGGCAUAAUUCAUUUUGACUUCAGUACUGUUAAGAUUAAUGCAUACCUCUUCAUGUAAGUAGCAAUGAAAUAAAUACAUAAAUAAAUUCUCCAUUACGUUGCCAAAUCUUUGCUAAAAUUCAGCUGCAUUAUACAGUAACUUAUUAUCUACUACUCUACAUAGGAGGAGAUUACAGUAUUAGAAAUGGGGCCAAUUAUUGAAAUCAGUGACAGUAACCACUCUUGUGUCU